rnacentral:rRNA from 1 species
GGCCGAGUUGGCAGGUCUGUCAUUGACAAGUACCGGUUUGACUCGGUCCUACCUUCUGGGUUUCCGGGAUGCCUUUAAAAGGGUGUCGCGGUGAUUAAAAUCCAGGACAAUUACCUUGAAGAAAUUAGAGUGUUCAAGGCAGGCUUACGCUUGAAUACAUUAGCAUGGAAUAACAGAAUAGGACUUUGGACCUAUUUUGUUGGUUUGAGGACCAAAGUA